GGGUGGGGGCUGCGGCCACGUUCCUGUUCAUUCACACAGAAUCCGGGGCAUGAAUGUUCUUAGCAGCUCUGUUCCACACAGCCCCACACUGGAAACCACACAGACGUCCUGCGAGUCCCAUCCCUUGCUCAUGUCGCCGGGGCUCCGGAGGAGGGCCACUCUGUAAAAGCGGCCGCCAGAUGGCGCCCAACGACCGGCGCGGAGGGGUCAGCGGGAGGGAACCGGGUCACCAGCCAGCGAGAGUGCACAGCCUGAGCCCACCGCCGGGUCAGGUCUCUCUCUGUCUCUGUCUCUGUCUCUGUCUCUGUCUCUCUCUGUCUCUGUCUCUGUCUCUGUCUCUCUCUGUCUCUCUGGGCCCGCUUGGGGCGGGCGGGAGGUCACCACGUGAGGCCCCAGGGUGUCCACCUCGGAGCUCCCAGGCAGCACAGGGCAACCCUGGGCGCAGAAGGAGGUGUUGGAAAAUCGGCGGGGAGGGGGGUGGGGUGGGUGGGCUUGCCAGGAAGGGGACAGACUCCCCACGUGACUCCUGGGCCGGGCCGGGGCUGCCAGCUGGCUGACGCGGACAGAGGUGGAAAAGUCCCCGGAGAUGCCACGGGGCAGGCCGGGGCUGCCGGCCCCCGCUUCCCGGAGCGCCCGAGCACUUCCCGGGCUCCCGGGAGGACUUAGAAAAUCAGGGCGGGGUGGGGGGUGGGGGUCGCUGUCAAACCGAAACCAUGCACGUCAUCAGAGAAGGACCGUGACGACGGAGGAAUUGUCCGCAGUCUGUCAGGAAUUGUGUGCAGCCUGUCACUUCCGGCCCAGAGGGUCUCUCUAAGGCAGACGGACAGACAGAGCCCACAAGUCGUAGAGGAAAGGACCGAGCCGCUUGGCCGCGGAAAAGUUUACAACACAAAACAGCGGUGCACGUAUUUCCCUUCCAAAAAAGAAGAACGGGAAAGGAGAUGUUAAAGGCAAGCAGAGAGAGGAAAACUGUUGCAAAACAAAAGCUGAGCUCCCGUCCGAGGGAGGCCUCCUCCAUUGGAGGCCUAGGAAAUCAUUCUGACAAAAUGGAGGAUCUCUGUCUUUGGUGUCGAUUCCCUCAGAGGUCAAGAGAAACCUUUUCCAAUGUCUUUAUCAGGAGGAGACUAGAAGUUAGAGAAAAGUAUCCUUUCGGGAGUGAGAAAAACAAAUUCUGAUUUUGCAUCAGCUUCCCUCCGAUCUUGAAACUCAUUGACUUGAUUCCAUUCUGUCGACGGAAAUAAUCCGGAACCAAUCUAUCCGUGAAAAUCGGGGGCACAACCAAAGGGACGUCUAUCGACCCACCCACCAAGGAUUCCCCCCCCCCGCACGGCACAGCAGGAUGCCUGAGAGAUCCAUGCAGCCCUACAGUGGCAAGUCACAUUCGCACAGUCAAAACUCAAUGGCAGAGACAAAACGUUAAGGUCAGCGAGAGGGAAGAGAAUAACCGGCCCAGGAGCAACGGUGUGAAGAACACGGAGAAGACGGGUCCUAGACGCCGGGGUCCCCGGAGCAGCGAUUUCAUCAGAGGCCCGCGAACGUCCACGAUCUCCACACCACGUUUAUGGCCGACUGCGUGCGUGGGUCCUUUGGAAUCGACCAGGCUACUGUCCGGGCCACUUUGGGACAUCGUGGCCAGCUGCCCCGAGCGGUGGAGCUGUCAUUCGAGUAAAACAAGGGCCGGGGCCGAGCCCGUGGACGAGCGGUCAAGUACGCGCCCCCCACCCCGACCCC
rnacentral:lncRNA from 1 species